UACGUAGGGGGCAAGCGUUGUCCGGAAUCAUUGGGCGUAAAGCGCGUGUAGGCGGCUCGAUAAGUCUGCUGUGAAAGUCCAAGGCUCAACCUUGGGAUGCCGGUGGAUACUGUCGAGCUCGAGUCCGGAAGAGGAGUGUGGAAUUCCUGGUGUAGCGGUGAAAUGCGCAGAUAUCAGGAAGAACACCCGUGGCUAAGGCGGCUCUCUAGUACGGUACUGACGCUGAGACGCGAAAGCGUGGGGAGCGAACAGG
rnacentral:rRNA from 1 species